GGGCCCGCACAAGCGGUGGAGCAUGUGGUUUAAUUCGACGCAACGCGAAGAACCUUACCUACUCUUGACAUCUACAGAAUUUUGCAGAGAUGCGAAAGUGCCUUCGGGAACUGUAAGACAGGUGCUGCAUGGCUGUCGUCAGCUCGUGUUGUGAAAUGUUGGGUUAAGUCCCGCAACGAGCGCAACCCUUAUCCUUAGUUGCCAGCACGUAAUGGUGGGAACUCUAGGGAGACUGCCGGUGAUAAACCGGAGGAAGGUGGGGACGACGUCAAGUCAUCAUGGCCCUUACGAGUAGGGCUACACACGUGCUACAAUGGUAUGUACAGAGGGAGGCAAGCUGGCGACAGUGAGCGGAUCUCUUAAAGCAUAUCGUAGUCCGGAUCGCAGUCUGCAACUCGACUGCGUGAAGUAGGAAUCGCUAGUAAUCGUGGAUCAGAAUGCCACGGUGAAUACGUUCCCGGGCCUU
rnacentral:rRNA from 1 species